rnacentral:lncRNA from 1 species
UAUAAUUCAAUGGAGGACCCUAAGCAGCUUUUAAUGAUCCAAACUAUGCUGUCUCGAAAUAUUUGCAGUUUAAAUUCUGUCAAGCUAGUCUGGGACUCGGCGAGUUCAGGCGCCAUGUCUCAGUGUCGUCACAUCUGCUGCUUUCCAGCAGCCAAAUUCUCUUCUCCGACAACAAUAUAUUCAAUAAGGUCCGUGGGAUAUUACUUUACCUUGAUUCUUUCAUGCACUAACAUGAAAUGUUCUUAUGUUAAUGCUGUGAAUGAAUGAUGCGGUGCUGCCUUCGAGAACCUGAGGAUCAACAGCAGCCUCAGCUCUCGCGUCUAGCCUGGGUAAACUUCUUGCAGAUGAGGAUGAAUUGAAAACUCUAUACGUAAUGGGCACGUAUUCAUGUCUCCUUAUUGUUUACCCUUUCCUGUUGUAUAUGUCACUAUGGUAGGCCCUAUUUUUGACUUGUGAUGAAAUACUGACAGGUUUUUUUGAACAAUAAAUAUUGACAGAC